GUUAAGCGACUAAGCGUACACGGUGGAUGCCCUGGCAGUCAGAGGCGAUGAAGGACGUGCUAAUCUGCGAUAAGCGUCGGUAAGGUGAUAUGAACCGUUAUAACCGGCGAUUUCCGAAUGGGGAAACCCAGUGUGAUUCGUCACACUAUCAUUAACUGAAUCCAUAGGUUAAUGAGGCGAACCGGGGGAACUGAAACAUCUAAGUACCCCGAGGAAAAGAAAUCAACCGAGAUUCCCCCAGUAGCGGCGAG
rnacentral:rRNA from 1 species